GGUCCCUGCAGCGGGCGAAAGGAGCCCGGGCCUGGAGGUUUGCGUACCGGUCGCCUGGUCCCGGCACCAGCGCCGCCCAGUGUGGUUUCCCAUAAGGAAGCUCUUCUUCCUGCUUGGCUUCCACCUUUAACCCUUCCACCUGGGAGCGUCCUCUAACACAUUCAGACUACAAGUCCAGACCCAGGAGAGCAAGGCCCAGAAAGAGGUCAAAAUGGGGUUUAUAUUUUCAAAAUCUAUGAAUGAAAGCAUGAAAAAUCAAAAGGAGUUCAUGCUUAUGAAUGCUCGACUUCAGGGUGCACAUUUUCAACUGCUAAGUCUUGUGACUGGGUAAACAAGCCAGGGGAGGAGUGCCUUGUGCUUGAGAGCUGGCUCAGGCAUGGAGGCCCUGUCUCGGAGCAGACUCUUCCUCUCAUGAUGUGGUCCCUCUGUGAUUUGGUACAACUUAAGGAUCUGUGAGGAAGCUGGAAAGGCAGCUCAUCAUGCAGAGUGAAAUGAGGGAAAGACAAAUGGCCAUGCAGAUUGCGUGGUCUCGGGAAUUCCUCAAAUAUUUUGGAACUUUUUUUGGCCUUGCAGCCAUCUCUUUAACAGCUGG
rnacentral:lncRNA from 1 species